rnacentral:rRNA from 1 species
UACGGAGGGGACUAGCGUUGUUCGGAAUUACUGGGCGUGAAGCGCACGUAGGCGGAUUUGUAAGUCAGGGGUGAAAUCCCGGGGCUCAACCUCGGAACUGCCUUUGAUACUGCAAAUCUCGAGUCCGGAAGAGGUGAGUGGAAUUCCUAGUGUAGAGGUGAAAUUCGUAGAUAUUAGGAAGAACACCAGUGGCGAAGGCGGCUCACUGGUCCGGUACUGACGCUGAGGUGCGAAAGCGUGGGGAGCAAACAGG